AUGUCAUCGGUGUAUCUAUUUACACUCCAAAGGACGGUAUAUCCUGGUCGUAGUACUAGUAGAAUUGAGAUUGAAUGCACUUUCUUCCCCGUCUUCCACUCUUCUUCCUCCUCUCUUCUUCUUCCUCCUCUCUUCUUCUUCCUCCUCUCUUCCCCAUCGUCGGCUGCACACCAUUUACCCCCGCUCACUGCUCGCCCGCCCGCGCCAUCUUCCUUGGUAGCUCGCACCAGACGCAAAUGCGCAGGCCUUCAUGAUUCCAGGACCUGGAAUCAUACCAGCCGAUGGUCGAAGAAGGAUUGGCCGGUGCUGCUGGCUGGCGUCAAGUUCGAUCCCACGGAUCAGGAGCUGAUCGAGCACCUUGAGGCCAAAGUGAGUGCUGACAACGCAAGAUUUCAGUCUCUCAUCGAUUUGUUCAUACCAACCAUCGACAGCGAGCACGGCAUAUGCUACACCCAACCUGAGAAACUUCCAGACCGGCAAUACCUUGCCGGUGAUGUUCAACGGCCGGCAAGACGGGCAGCAAAAAAGGUUCUGGUGCUGCACACCAACAAGAACUUCGACCAGCAGAGGACCAACUGGGUGAUGCACCAGCACCACCUCGGGGACCUGGAGCAAGAGAAGGAGCGGGAGCUGGUCCUCUGCAAGAUUUUCUACCAGACGAACACCAGGGCCAGGAGUAAAAAGAUUAUAAGUUAG
rnacentral:rRNA from 1 species